rnacentral:rRNA from 1 species
CAGUAGCCGCGGGAAUACAGAGGGUGCGAGCGUUAAUCGGAUUUACUGGGCGUAAAGCGUGCGUAGGCGGCUUCUUAAGUCGGAUGUGAAAUCCCUGAGCUUAACUUAGGAAUUGCAUUCGAUACUGGGAAGCUAGAGUAUGGGAGAGGAUGGUAAAAUUCCAGGUGUAGCGGUGAAAUGCGUAGAGAUCUGGAGGAAUACCGAUGGCGAAGGCAGCCAUCUGGCCUAAUACUGACGCUGAGGUACGAAAGCAUGGGGAGCAAACAGGAUUAGAGACCCCCGUAGUCCCUGUCUCUUAUAU